UGAAGGCAGAUCUUCAGUAUCCCAUGGACCCAUUUUUCACUGAGGUCUUUCAAUUCCAUAAGCUUUCAGUUGUCCGGCUGCACCCCAACAACGGGAGAAUUUUGGUGGCCUUCCGGUUCGUUUGUUUCAAUAAACGUAUCGAGCCGAGUGUGGUCCUCUUCUCUCAACUGUACCAGUUGGUCACUCGAAAAAACAAAGAGUUCUGAUUUUUCAGUGGGAGGAAACGCCAGAC
rnacentral:lncRNA from 1 species